ACCUAAGUCUUGAAUCUCUAAACCCUAAACCUUGAAUUCUAAGGAAAAAGAUAUAUUAAAGCUGGAUUCGGAAAAAAUGAAAAAAAUUGAAAGCGGAACAUUUAAAUGUUCAAAGCGGCAAUGAAAAAAAAUAGCGCCCAAGACGAAAAUGAAAACUCAAUUAAUAGAGAAACACGAGAAAAAAAGAACCCAAUUAUCUCUCUCUCUCUCUCUCUCUCUCGCCGUUGCUCCCAAUCAAAUUAGGGCUUCCCAAUUUCUAUAUUCUUCUUGCUGUGAAUUUCAUACAGUGGUUUUGGGAGGUUGUCCAAGCUCUUAGUAAGGAGGAUAAAGCUCGUCUAUUGCAGUUUGUGACUGGCAUCUCGAAGGUACCUUCAGAAGGGUUUAGUGCACUUUAGGGGAUUUCAGGCUCACAGGCUCACAGAAGUUCCAGAAUACAUAAGGCAUAUGGAAGCCCUGAUCACUGGUCAUUUGCACAUACAGACAUACUUGUUGAAGCUUGUAGGAGAAACAUCAAGUUCAAUGGUUCGGUUCAUGUUCAAAGGUGGAAUCACAUCAUGUUGAUGCUCGUGUCAUAUGCUCACCCACCCAAAAAUAUUUGAUUGGUAUGCAUAUGAUAUUUUUUCUCAAAGCAUUUGUUAAGAAUUGUUUACCUGAAUAUGAUUAACAAGUGCUAUCAAUACCCCAAACUUGAAAUAAAAUAAAAUAAUGUAAGAAUUUUAUGGACAUUUACUGCUUGGGUGGAUUUUACUAUCUCUGUUUCUUAGGCUUCAGGUUUGCACUGCCUCUGCUUCUAGCCUACAUUGAGGUCUUAUUAUGUCCUUGAUUAUACCUUUUCCCUUGAAUAUGCAUACCAUGAAACUUUUUCUUGGUAGCUUUCACUUUCACCAGAACUUAAGUGUAACUCGUAUUAUCUUGGAAAUGUAGUUUUUAGCAUGUCUUUUUCAUACCUACUAAUUUUUAGCAUUAGGCAGGUAUAGCUUUCUACUGAGAUAUCAUUUAAGUAUGUAGACUCUGUUUUGCAUUUUUUUUUUUACAGAUGUUUCAACUGAAAAGACUCAUAAUUUGAGCUUCUUGUUGGAUUUCAGUGCAAUGGUUUAAGGAAGGGCAUACAAGGAGCGAUCUAGGUUUGAUUGUCAAGUAUGCAUGUCUACAGAUGCAUUUAGAUUCCAGUAUGGCUAUUAGAGUUCCUACCAGUAAGGUUACUGGAGUUCUGAUUCCUGGACGUGAAUUCUUAUUCUAUAUGUCUUUUAUUUCUUUGUUUUGGUAGCCUAGUGUAAUUAAAGACAUAUUAAAUGGUUUAUAUGCUUCAUGAUUUAGUACUAAUCUAUUCCUGGAUAUGAAAGAUUUAUUGAUUGAUAGUUUUGAUUUGUUAGAUGUGUUGGAUAUAUUGAAUGUGGUGUUGAAGUUUUGGUUUUGCUCAUAGUUUGUUGGUUGAUAUCGAUUUAUGUUAUUUGCACUCGAACCAAAUAUCAAACAUUUUCAGGUUUUCUUGAUAUUUGGCACUCCAAUAAGAUCUUUGCUAAUGAGUCACUUGAAUAUUACAAAAAUUGUGCAGGCAUGGUGUAAAGGUAAUUUAUGACAAUUGUAUGUUAAGCACUAUAUGACAAUUAUAUGUGAAGCACUAUAUGUUAUAUCCUCACCUCUACUAAACAUUGCAGGUACAGGACAUGAAGUUUAAUUUUCCAUUUUGAAGAGCCUUGUGAAUAUGUGAAGGAUGUGUGAGGCUUGUCUUGUUAAGAUUUCUUGAAUAAGAGCUAAACCUGCUACUAUGUGCUUUUGCCUUUGAAAUAUAGGUUUGGAUCUUUUCCUUCAAGUCUGUGUGAAUAAUGAACUACCAAGAGAGUUUUGUACUGUAAACCAUAUGUAAACCAUGUUUACUGCAAUAUAAGUUUCUUCUGUUCCAAAAUCCUUGUUAUGUUCUUUUAUUUCCUUUAUUAUUUUGUUUAUUGUUUAAUGAGUCUUGAAUAAGAAUCUUUUGUAGAAUAAAAUAAUAUGUACCGCCCACAGAUCAUGUCGUAAUAAGUAGACAACCGCAACAAAAAGAAUAUUUCUUCGCUAUAGACUAAAAUUAAGAGUUUUGCUAUUAGAACCUCCAAAUUUACUCACUUGACCUCCUUGCUUUUUACACCUCCUAUCAAAUUUUCAAAUACUAAAUUUAC